GUGCUUGCUUCACAGCACAUAUGCUGAAGUUGGACCAACACAGAGAAAAUUAGCAUGACCCCUGCAUAAGCAUGAUGCACCAAUCUGUGAAGCAGUCCAUAUUACA
ensembl:snRNA U6 U6 spliceosomal RNA